AAAUUGAAGAGUUUGAUCAUGGCUCAGAUUGAACGCUGGCGGCAGGCCUAACACAUGCAAGUCGAACGGUAACAGGAAGCAGCUUGCUGCUUUGCUGACGAGUGGCGGACGGGUGAGUAAUGUCUGGGAAACUGCCUGAUGGAGGGGGAUAACUACUGGAAACGGUGGCUAAUACCGCAUAACGUCGCAAGACCAAAGAGGGGGACCUUCGGGCCUCUUGCCAUCAGAUGUGCCCAGAUGGGAUUAGCUAGUUGGUGAGGUAACGGCUCACCAAGGCGACGAUCCCUAGCUGGUCUGAGAGGAUGACCAGCCACACUGGAACUGAGACACGGUCCAGACUCCUACGGGAGGCAGCAGUGGGGAAUAUUGCACAAUGGGCGCAAGCCUGAUGCAGCCAUGCCGCGUGUAUGAAGAAGGCCUUAGGGUUGUAAAGUACUUUCAGCGGGGAGGAAGGUGUUGUGGUUAAUAACCGCAGCAAUUGACGUUACCCGCAGAAGAAGCACCGGCUAACUCCGUGCCAGCAGCCGCGGUAAUACGGAGGGUGCAAGCGUUAAUCGGAAUUACUGGGCGUAAAGCGCACGCAGGCGGUCUGUCAAGUCGGAUGUGAAAUCCCCGGGCUCAAC
rnacentral:rRNA from 1 species